CUACGGGAGGCAGCAGUGGGGAAUUUUGGACAAUGGGGGCAACCCUGAUCCAGCAAUGCCGCGUGUGUGAAGAAGGCCUUCGGGUUGUAAAGCACUUUUGUCUGGAAAGAAACAGCAUAGGCUAAUAUCCUGUGUGAAUGACGGUACCAGAAGAAUAAGCACCGGCUAACUACGUGCCAGCAGCCGCGGUAAUACGUAGGGUGCAAGCGUUAAUCGGAAUUACUGGGCGUAAAGCGUGCGCAGGCGGUUUUGUAAGACAGGCGUGAAAUCCCCGGGCUUAACCUGGGAAUGGCGUUUGUGACUGCAAGACUAGAGUGUGUCAGAGGGGGGUAGAAUUCCACGUGUAGCAGUGAAAUGCGUAGAGAUGUGGAGGAACACCGAUGGCGAAGGCAGCCCCCUGGGAUAACACUGACGCUCAUGCACGAAAGCGUGGGGAGCAAACAGGAUUAGAUACCCUGGUAGUCCACGCCCUAAACGAUGCCGACUAGUUGUUGGGAAUUUAUUUUUUCAGUAACGAAGCUAACGC
rnacentral:rRNA from 1 species